UCCAAGGUGUGAGUGCAUUUUGCUCUUUCAAGUUACUGGUAACUUGGUUGGUAAAAGAAAUACCAAUUCUUUGCUUUCCUCAUUUGCCCUCACUCCCUUCCCUAAGUUACUAUUUUCCCUGUUUUGCUUUCCAGCAGCUUCUCACAAUGCCAUGCACUGACUUCCCUGUCGAUCCAGCCUACUGCGGACCCAAGUAUUCUUGCUGCCAGAUAGGAGGGAUGAGUAAUGGAGACUCCAGCCCUCAGAGACCUUGAUCAAUAUAUGUAAGAUGUACAUUGAUUCUGUCCAGAAAAUUGAGGACAACUCGAGGCAAGGAGGGGGUUUCCAGGUCACAGUGAACAAAAUUGCACUUCGGCUCUGUGAACAGAUACGUGCCCAAUACCCUCAGAGUUCCAGAGGGAUGGCUUGCCUCCUAGAUUGGGUUUGUUCUGGGCCCUCGGCAGUACUUGGAGCUCGUGAAAUCCACCGCGCCCACCAUCUGCCUUCCUAGCAUGCCUUUGUUUUGAGCUACUUUGAAUGCCAAUAUUGUGUUGAGAAGCAGGAUGACAUCCUGGGAUGGUAAUUCUUCUGGAAUAUUUGAGCUCAUGGGACUUCAUCCUAUUUUUUCUAAUGUAAUUCUGGGGGAACGUGGAAUCAUAUAUUACUGUGUCAUAUUCUUGCCUUAUUAGAAAAGCCAACUCCAAAUGCGCUGCUAAUUGCAGCUCUUCCCGAUGGUCUUCUGAAAAUCAGCUUCUUUUUAAUUAACAAAGGAAUAAGAGUUUGAACCAUAUGAAAUUGUUGUUUGAUGAGUCAAAAAUCAUAAAAUAUUCGUGAUUUCAUAUGAUUAGCCUAAUACAAAGGGGAGUGAACAGAUUUUCAAAGUAGUGAGGGCACAUAGUUCAUUCUCUUA